GACGAACGCUGGCGGCGUGCUUAACACAUGCAAGUCGAACGGAAAGGCCCUGCUUUUGUGGGGUGCUCGAGUGGCGAACGGGUGAGUAACACGUGAGUAACCUGCCCUUGACUUUGGGAUAACUUCAGGAAACUGGGGCUAAUACCGGAUAGGAGCUCCUGCUGCAUGGUGGGGGUGGGAAAGUUUCGGCGGUUGGGGAUGGACUCGCGGCUUAUCAGCUUGUUGGUGGAGGAGUGGCUUACCAAGGCUUUGACGGGUAGCCGGCCUGAGAGGGUGACCGGCCACAUUGGGACUGAGAUACGGCCCAGACUCCUACGGGAGGCAGCAGUGGGGAAUAUUGCACAAUGGGCGGAAGCCUGAUGCAGCAACGCCGCGUGCGGGAUGACGGCCUUCGGGUUGUAAACCGCUGUCGCCUGUGACGAAGCGUGAGUGACGGUAAUGGGUAAAGAAGCACCGGCUAACUACGUG
rnacentral:rRNA from 1 species